rnacentral:lncRNA from 1 species
GGGCAGCCGCUCCCCUCCAGCUGUUGGGUUUUUUUUAUUAUUUAUUAUUACAGAUAGAAUCCUGGAAAACGACAGAGCAAACCAUGGCUACAGCCUUCUUCCAGCACUCCACUGGAGACGAGUCAACAUUCGAUAGGAGAGAUCCCAGGACUCCAUGGCCACAUGCUGAGGAAGCCUCAGCGCUGGACACGGACACGAGCCCAUGACACGUCAACAUUCGACAGGACAGAUCCCUGGACUUCAUGACCACAUGCUGAGGAAGCCUCAGCGCUGAACACGGACGUGAGCCCAUGACACGACAACAUUCGACAGGAGAGUUCCCUGGACUUCAUGACCACAUGCUGAGGAAGCCUCAGCGCUGGACACCGAUGCGAGCCCCUGACACCUCAGCGUUCGACAGGAGAGAUACUUGGACUCCAUGGCCACAUGCUAAGGAAGAUAGAAUGCUGGAAAACAACAGAGUAAGACCAUGGCUACAGCCUUCUUCCAGCACUCCACUGGAGACGGGUCAACAUCAGACAGGAGAGAUCCCUGGACUCCACGGCCACUUGCUAAGGAAGCCUCAGCGCUGGACACAGACGCGAGCCCAAGACACGUCAACAUUCGACAGGACAGAUCCUUGGACUUCAUGGCCACAUGCUGAGGAAGCCUCAGUGCUGGACAUGGACACGAGCCCAUGAUACCAUGCUCCUGGCUGCCUCUCCUUGACGCUCCGCUGGAGACGCUGCAGCAUCCCACGGGACAGUCCUACAGAGGA